rfam:Actinoplanes sp. N902-109, complete genome.
GCAGAUUCGGCUCGACCCCCCCGGAGCCGAAUCCAGGACGGCCCCCGUCACCCCCUGACGGGGGUCGUUCCCU